rnacentral:rRNA from 1 species
UGCCUACGGGGCGCAGCAGUGGGGAAUAUUGGGCAAUGGACGCAAGUCUGACCCAGCAACGCCGCGUGAAGGAAGAAGGCCUUCGGGUCGUAAACUUCUGUCCUUGGGGAAGAAGAACUGACGGUACCCAAGGAGGAAGCCCCGGCUAACUACGUGCCAGCAGCCGCGGUAAUACGUAGGGGGCAAGCGUUAUCCGGAAUUAUUGGGCGUAAAGAGUACGUAGGUGGCAACCUAAGCGCAGGGUUUAAGGCAAUGGCUCAACCAUUGUUCGCCCUGCGAACUGGGAUGCUUGAGUGCAGGAGAGG